CCUACGGGUGGCAGCAGUGGGGAAUAUUGCGCAAUGGGCGAAAGCCUGACGCAGCGACGCCGCGUGAGGGAUGACGGUCUUCGGAUCGUUAACCUCUGUCAGCAGGGUAGUACGGUCACUGUGCUAAUCAGCAGUGCAUUGACGGUACCUGCACAGGAAGCACCGGCUCACUCCGUGCAAGCAGCCGCGGUAAUACGGAGGGUGCGAGCGUUAAUCGGAUUUACUGGGCGUAAAGCGCUCGUAGGCGGUAUGUCAAGUCAAGGGUGAAAUCCCCGCGCUCAACGUGGGAACUGCUUUUGAAACUGGCAAACUGGAGUGUGUGGGAGGAUAGCGGAAUUCCAGGUGUAGGAGUGAAAUCCGUAGAUAUCUGGAGGAACAUCAGUGGCGAAGGCGACUAUCUGGCACAUAACUGACGCUGAGGAGCGAAAGCGUGGGUAGCAAACAGGAUUAGAUACCCCUGUAGUC
rnacentral:rRNA from 1 species